UACAGAUUCAAUGCAAUCCCCAUCAAAAUACCAAUCCAAUUCUUCAAAGAGUUAGACAGAACAAUUUGCAAAUUCAUCUGGAAUAACAAAAAACCCAGGAUAGCUAAAACUAUCCUCAACAAUAAAAGGACUUCAGGGGGAAUCACUAUCCCUGAACUCAAGCACUAUUACAGAGCAAUAGUGAUAAAAACUGCAUGGUAUUGGUACAGAGACAGACAGAUAGACCAAUGGAACAGAAUUGAAGACCCAGAAAUGAACCCACACACCUAUGGUCACUUGAUUUUUGACAAAGGAGCCAAAACCAUCCAAUGGAAAAAAGAUAGCAUUUCCAGCAAAUGAUGCUGGUUCAACUGGAGGUCAACAUGUAGAAGAAUGCAGAUCGAUCCAUGCUUAUCACCCUGUACAAAGCUUAAGUCCAAGUGGAUCAAGGACCUCCACAUCAAACCAGACACACUCAAACUAAUAGAAGAAAAACUAGGGAAGCAUCUGGAACACAUGGGCACUGGAAAAAAA
rnacentral:lncRNA from 1 species